CUUUCUAGAACCCCAGGAAUUCUGGAGAGGUGGUAACCACAGCAGAGCUGGCGUGCCCCUGACCUGGCACAGGGAGCAGCAGCCAGGCAGUUCCCCCUGAGCACUGGGGAUUUCUGCACCGCCGGCGAUGCGAGCGAUGGCAGACCAGGCUGCAGUGGCGGCGGAGGCCUCUCCAACCCUGGCACCAUCCCCAGGCUCUCCUCGACACAGGGACACCAACGGGACAAAGUCCCAUCCCGCCAGCACCAGGGAGAAUGGCAGCGGCGGGGAGGGCAGUGGGACCCUAUUCCCCAUGGAGGGGGACACGAAGCCCCUCUCCAUGCUCCUGGCUGACGUCCCACGGGGCCCCCAAUCACAGCUGGGCCCGUCCAAGUCCCGCACGGCUCCAUCCUCCCCCAGCGUGUCCCCAUCGGAGAGCCGCACUGCGCUGCUCCGGCUGCGGGAGGCCAGGCUGGAGGACACCAGGAGGCGGCUGUCGGAGGCCGUGCAGGAGCCCCUCAGCCGCCUGAGCCGCCUGAUGGCCGAGGAAAGCGGCCCUGCGGGCCAGGCAAAGGCAGGGGGCAGCCCGGGGCGAGGGGAAUCGGGAGGCAGAGGGGACGGGGGGCAGCGGGCACGGGACUGGAGCCCCUGGGAGCCCACCCUGAAUUGCCGCUAUGAGAUCUGCUCCUACGGGGACGUCAUCCAGGUGGUGGAGGUGGCACAGCGCAAGGCCGAGCCCCCGGAGCAGCCACCGCCAUCGGCCCUGCCUGGGGGCACGGUGCCGGGCCGGGCCUUGGCCUGCGUGGCGCUGCUCACCUACGGUUAACUGGUGCUGCCNNNNNNNNNNNNNNNNNNNNNNNNNNNNNNNNNNNNNNNNNGCCGCCGCCGCUGCCGCGCCUGCGCCCCGAGCUGCUCCUGGACAGCCCACGGAGAACCCACGGCCUGCAGGGCUGGCUGAACCAGCUGCACACCUAUGACCCUGAGCUGUACCACCCGUCACUCACAUACUCGGUGCUGGCCACGCUGGAUGGGGCCACCCUCAAGCUGUCCUACCCCAAAAGCAACAUCCCACGCCAGGCCACCUUCGCGGAGGAAAUCCUCGAUGUCGCCUUCGUCAGCCAUCGUUGCUACGAUAUGUGCGGCGCCAAGGUCUCCCUCUGCCCCCCCGGCUUGGCCCGAAAGCGACUAUGGAACAAGAAGUACCCCAUCUGCAUCCUCUUCCCAGAACAGACAGACACAGAACAUAGGAGCAGUGAUGAGCAUGGCACAGAGCAGCCAGGGGAAGAAGGGACGAAGAAGCCACAGGCACCUGGCCAGGAAGUCCCAGGGGACUGCAGGGAAAGGUGCCUGUACCUCUUUGGGAGGACAGGAAGGGAGAAGGAGGAGUGGUACCACCAUCUCCUGCAAGCCUGCCGUGGGAACCCCAGCAGCAGCCAUGGUGAAGCCAUGCCAGGCAAAGAACCGGCUGCACAGAGUGGUGCCAGCAGCAUUAGCGGGAGCACUGAGGACAUCCCCUCUGCCAUCAGAUCCAAGGAGCUGGCUGGAAUCUUUCAGCAGAAGAUUUUUCUGGAUUACAGCACCUACAUGGCCCAAUUUGUGCCAGCAGAGACAGGGAACAGCCCAGAGCAGAGCCCCCCUCACAGCACACUGGGCAGCCCUGCAGCCACCAAGGUGAGAUCUCAGAGCUGGAUGCAAUCACUGAGCAGAGCCGAUGAACCACAUGUACUGCUG
ensembl:lncRNA